GGCGACGUAGCUCAGGUGGUCAGAGCGGGCGGCUCAUACCCGCCAGGUCGGUGGUUCGACUCCACCCGUCGCCACCA
rnacentral:tRNA from 1 species